rnacentral:rRNA from 1 species
CCCUGACGCAGCGACGCCGCGUGGAGGAGGAAGGCCUUCGGGUUGUAAACUCCUUUUGGGUGGGAAGAAACAAAUGACGGUACCACCCGAAUAAGCCCCGGCUAACUCCGUGC